UCUCCGUUGGUGAACCAGCGGAGGGAUCAUCACCGAGUGCAAACUCAUAACCCUUUGUGAACCUAUAUCUGUUGCUUCGGCGGCUCGCUCUCGGGCGAGCCCGCCGGUAAUAUCAGUAUCUCUGUUUGAACCCGACGAUACUUCUGAGUGUUCUUAGCGAACAGUUAAAACUUUUAACAACGGAUCUCUUGGCUCUA
rnacentral:misc_RNA from 1 species